rnacentral:rRNA from 1 species
GAGUUUGAUCUUGGCUCAGAGCGAACGCUGGCGGCAGGCUUAACACAUGCAAGUCGAGCGCCCCGCAAGGGGAGCGGCAGACGGGUGAGUAACACGUGGGAACGUACCCUUCAGUUCGGAACAACCCAGGGAAACUUGGGCUAAUACCGGAUACGUCCGUAAGGAGAAAGAUUUAUCGCUGAAGGAUCGGCCCGCGUCUGAUUAGCUAGUUGGUGAGGUAAUGGCUCACCAAGGCUACGAUCAGUAGCUGGUCUGAGAGGAUGAUCAGCCACAUUGGGACUGAGACACGGCCCAAACUCCUACGGGAGGCAGCAGUGGGGAAUAUUGGACAAUGGGGGCAACCCUGAUCCAGCCAUGCCGCGUGAGUGAUGAAGGCCCUAGGGUUGUAAAGCUCUUUUAGCAGGGAAGAUAAUGACGGUACCUGCAGAAAAAGCCCCGGCUAACUUCGUGCCAGCCGCCGCAGU